UAUAAGUAGAAGGAGAGCUAUUUAAAGGUUGCUUUAAUACAAAAGGCAGCUGAAGUGGUCACAAUAAGGAUUCCCUUAGGGAAAUUCGGAAGUAACUCCGUUUACCCUUACAAAGUUCUUGUUUCCUUUAGAAUUCUUACAAGUAUGGCUUCUUUUCCACUGGCCUCCUGGGGGGAGUUCUUGGCAGAUGAGCUUGCUCGUUGUUUUGCAUUGAAGAAAUACCAUAGAUGUCCAGUAAGCAAGAGCAACCAGUUGAUUAAAACAAGGUUGGCAGUAAUGUCUGUGAACUGAAACCAUAAAAGGUUUGUUUGACUUUUUCUUCUUAGGGGUUUUUUUUUUUUUCUUAUCAUGGUAUAAAAAAGUACAAGAACUGACCAACCAUCUUUUUCGUAAACAUAGAUGCUAUCUUUUUAAAAUGAAAGAUCAUAACAUUAUUUAUAAAUAGAGCAAACAUACAACCAAUCAAAAUGUACAAGGACAGGA
rnacentral:lncRNA from 1 species